rnacentral:rRNA from 1 species
GAUGAACGCUAGCGGCAGGCUUAAUACAUGCAAGUCGAGGGGGAUUAGUUGUCUAGCAAUAGAUGGCUAUGAGACCGGCAAACGGGUGCGGAACACGUACGCAACCUUCCCAAAACUGGUGAAUAGCCCUCCGAAAGGAGGAUUAAUACACCGUAACUUAAUGAGGUGGCAUCACUUUAUUAAUAUAGCUCCGGCGGUUUUGGAUGGGCGUGCGCCUGAUUAGGUAGUUGGCGGGGUAACGGCCCACCAAGCCUACGAUCAGUAACUGGUGUGAGAGCACGACCAGUCACACGGGCACUGAGACACGGGCCCGACUCCUACGGGAGGCAGCAGUAAGGAAUAUUGGUCAAUGGACGCAAGUCUGAACCAGCCAUGCCGCGUGAAGGAUGACGGCCCUCUGGGUUGUAAACUUCUUUUAUCUGGACGAAAAAGGUCAUUCUUGAUCACUUGACGGUACCAGAGGAAUAAGCACCGGCUAACUCCGUGCCAGCAGCCGCGGU